GCCUAAGCUCCUUCUUCAGCAAGGAGAACUGAGCUUAAGUAUAGUAAUAUCUUUCAAUCCGCUUGAACUUUGUAGUCCAAGAGAACGGAGCUUUUAAGCUAGAAACUUUAAUGGAGUUAACUUUCCCAGUGAAAGCUCAGUUAUUUGGCUCCAAAAUUGGUCACAAAUCUCUAAGCUACUCAACUUCAGUAAAAUUCUACCAGAAAGUAUCUCGUCCUCAAUUUUCAGCAUGUGGAAUCAGGGUUCGUUCGGAAUUUGACCAUAAAAUCAAUGGCGCUUUCUCUCCUGAUUCU
rnacentral:misc_RNA from 1 species